rnacentral:rRNA from 1 species
UACGGGGGGGGCAAGCGUUGUUCGGAAUUACUGGGCGUAAAGGGCUCGUAGGCGGCCAACUAAGUCGGAUGUGAAAUCCCCAGGCUCAACCUGGGAACUGCAUCCGAUACUGGAUGGCUUGAAUUCGGGAGAGGGAUGCAGAAUUCCAGGUGUAGCGGUGAAGUGCGUAGAUAUCUGGAGGAAUACCGGUGGCGAAGGCGGCAUCCUGGGCCUGUUCUGACGCUGAGGCGCGAAAGCUAGGGGAGCGAACAGG